CAGUCGAACGGAGAUAUUCGCUGAUGAAGUACUUCGGUAAUGAAUCUUGGACAUCUUAGUGGCGGACGGGUGAGUAACGCGUGAGCAACCUGCCUUUCAGAGGGGGAUAACGUUUGGAAACGAACGCUAAUACCGCAUGACAUUAUCUUAUCGCAUGGUAGGAUAAUCAAAGGAGCAAUCCGCUGAAAGAUGGGCUCGCGUCCGAUUAGGUAGUUGGUGGGGUAACGGCCCACCAAGCCGACGAUCGGUAGCCGGACUGAGAGGUUGGACGGCCACAUUGGGACUGAGACACGGCCCAGACUCCUACGGGAGGCAGCAGUAAGGGAUAUUGGUCAAUGGGGGAAACCCUGAACCAGCAACGCCGCGUGAGGGAAGACGGUUUUCGGAUUGUAAACCUCUGUCCUCUGUGAAGAUGAUGACGGUAGCAGAGGAGGAAGCUCCGGCUAACUACGUGCCAGCAGCCGCGGUAAUACGUAGGGAGCGAGCGUUGUCCGGAUUUACUGGGUGUAAAGGGUGCGUAGGCGGCUUGGCAAGUCAGUAGUGAAAUCCAUGGGCUUAACCCAUGAACUGCUAUUGAAACUGUCGAGCUUGAGUGAAGUAGAGGUAGGCGGAAUUCCCGGUGUAGCGGUGAAAUGCGUAGAGAUCGGGAGGAACACCAGUGGCGAAGGCGGCCUACUGGGCUUUAACUGACGCUGAGGCACGAAAGCGUGGGUAGCAAACAGGAUUAGAUACCCUGGUAGUCCACGCUGUAAACGAUGAUUACUAGGUGUGGGUGGACUGACCCCAUCCGUG
rnacentral:rRNA from 1 species